rnacentral:rRNA from 1 species
UCCAGAAGAAGAACUGACGGUACUUGAGGAAUAAGCCACGGCUAAUUCCGUGCCAGCAGCCGCGGUAAUACGGGAGUGGCAAGCGUUAUCCGGAAUUAUUGGGCGUAAAGCGUCCGCAGGCGGUCUUGAAAGUCUGUUGUUAAAGCGUGGAGCUCAACUCCAUUUCAGCAAUGGAAACUAGAAGACUAGAGUGUGGUAGGGGCAGAGGGAAUUCCCGGUGUAGCGGUGAAAUGCGUAGAUAUCGGGAAGAACACCAGUGGCGAAGGCGCUCUGCUGGGCCAUAACUGACGCUCAUGGACGAAAGCCAGGGGAGCGAAAGGGAUUAGAUACCCCUGUAGUCCUGGCCGUAAACGAUGAACACUAGGUGUCGGGGGAAUCGACCCCCUCGGUGUCGUAGCCAACGCGUUAAGUGUUCCGCCUGGGGAGUACGCACGCAAGUGUGAAACUCAAAGGAAUUGACGGGGGCCCGCACAAGCGGUGGAGUAUGUGGUUUAAUUCGAUGCAACGCGAAGAACCUUACCAGGGUUUGACAUCCUGCGAAUCUUUUGGAAACAGAAGAGUGCCUUCGGGAGCGCAGAGACAGGUGGUGCAUGGCUGUCGUCAGCUCGUGUCGUGAGAUGUUGGGUUAAGUCCCGCAACGAGCGCAACCCACGUCUUUAGUUGCCAGCAUUGAGUUGGGCACUCUAGAGAGACCGCCGGUGAUAAACCGGAGGAAGGUGUGGAUGACGUCAAGUCAUCAUGCCCCUUACAUCCUGGGCUACACACGUACUACAAUGCUACGGACAGAGGGCAGCAAACUCGCGAGAGCUAGCAAAUCCCAUAAACCGUGGCUCAGUUCAGAUCGUAGGCUGCAACUCGCCU